rnacentral:lncRNA from 1 species
CUGAUCUCUGACCUGCGUUCUUAGCUGGGACGUCGAGUUCUCCCAGGAUAAUUAUCGACCAGCAGAACCAGCCUGAAACCACCACUGAAACACAAUUUAUGCCUUGCUAUCUUCCUAAGGAUUAAGCAUCUGGGUAAGAAUACACAUCCUGGGAAGGACGCUACCCAGUCAUUUUAUCUACCCCCAUCGCUGUUAAAGUGGCUGGAGUUGAGUCUUGGAUACAUCACACUCAAGUCAAACCCUGGAUACUGCCAAAGGAACCCGAAAAUCCGGGAGACUACACUAGCUAUUCCUGUGAACCUCUAGAGGAUCUGCGCCUGCUCUUCAAGUGACAACCGUGAGGAAAGUAACUAGAAUCAUACAUCCCCAUGGCCCUCCCUUGUCAUAUUUUUCUCUUUACUGUUCUCUUACCCCCUUUCACUCUCACUGCACCUCCUCCAUGCCUCUGUACUACCAGUAGCUCCCCUUAGCAAGAGCUUCUAUGGAGAAUGCAGCUUCCUGGAAAUGUUGAUGCCCCAUCGUAUAGGAGUUUUUCUAAAGGAAACCCCACUUUCACCGCCCACACCCAUAUGCCCCUGCACUUCAGGCCAUACAUGUCAAUCCCUGUAUCUUUAACCUGCUUGUUAAGUUUGUCUCUUCCAGAACCAAAGCUGUAAAACUACAAAUCAUUCUUCAAAUGGAGCCCCAGAUGCAGAUCAUGUCUAAGAUCUACCGCGGACCCCUGGACUAGCCUGCUAGCCCAUGCCCUGAUGUUAAUGACAUUGAAGUCACCCCUCCUGAGGAAAUCUCAACUGCAUGACCCCUACUACACCCCAAUUCAGCAGGAAGCAGUUAACAGUGGUCGUUGGCUGACCUCCCCAACAGCACUUGGGUUUUCCUGUUGAGAGGGGGCACUGAGAGACAGGACUAGCUGGAUUUCCUAGGACUAAGAAUUCCUAAGCCUAGCUGGGGAAGGUGACUGCAACCAUCUUUAAACACAAGGCUUGUAUCUCAGCUCACACCUGACCAAUCAGGUAAUAAAGAGGUCUCACUAAAAUACAAAUUAGGCUAAAAGCAGGAGGUAAAGAAAUAGUCAAAUUACGUCUCAUCUGAGAGCACAAGGGAGGGAUAAUGAUUGUGAUAUAAACCCCCAGGCAUUCGAGCCGGGAGUGGACAACCCCUUUUGGGUCCCCUCCCAUUGUAUGGGAGCUCUGUUUUCACUCUAUUAAAUCUUGCAACUGCACACUCUUCUGGUCCAUAUUUGUUACGGCUCGAGCUGAGCUUUAGCUCACUGUCCACCACUGCUGUUUGCCGCCAUCGU